rnacentral:rRNA from 1 species
AAUAUUGGACAAUGGGCGAAAGCCUGAUCCAGCCAUGCCGCGUGUGUGAAGAAGGUCUUCGGAUUGUAAAGCACUUUACGUUGGGAGGAAGGGCUUUAGGUUAAUACCCUGAAGUUUUGACGUUACCAACAGAAUAAGCACCGGCUAACACUGUGCCAGCCGCCGCGGUAAUACAGAGGGUGCAAGCGUUAAUCGGAAUUACUGGGCGUAAAGCGGGCGUAGGUGGUUUGUUAAGUUUGAAGUGGAAGCCCCGGGCUCAACCUGGGAACUGCUUUCAAAACUGGCAAGCUAGAGUACGGUAGAGGGUAGUGGAAUUUCCUGUGUAGCGGUGAAAUGCGUAGAUAUAGGAAGGAACACCAGUGGCGAAGGCGACUACCUGGACUGAUACUGACACUGAGGUGCGAAAGCGUGGGGAGCAAAC